rnacentral:rRNA from 1 species
GACGAACGCUGGCGGCGUGCCUAAUACAUGCAAGUAGGACGCAGUUGCGAACGGGUGAGUAACGCGUAGGUAACUGCCUAUUAGAGGGGGAUAACUAUUGGAAACGAUAGCUAAUACCGCAUACUAGUAGAUGGACCUGCGUUGUUUUAGCGAGUAGGUAGGGUAAUGGCAUACAUAGGCGACGCUACAUAGGCGACCUGCGAGGGUGAUCGGCCACACUGGGGCUGAGACACGGCCCAGACUCCUACGGGAGGCAGCAGUAGGGAAUCUUCUGCAAUGGGGGGAACCCUGACCUAGCAACGCCGCGUGAGUGAAGAAGGUUUUCGGAUCGUAAAGCUCUGUUGGUAAGGAAGCGGUACUUAACCAGAAAGGGACGGCUAACUACGUGCCAGCAGCCGCGGUAAUAC